ACACAAAACAAGAACUUUGUAUUUCAAAUUGAACAUUUUCAUUUAUCACAUUAGUGUAUAUUGGUUACAUUUAUUAUUGUAUUGAUUAAUAUCAAUUAAUCUCCAUGGCUGAUCUCAACACCAAACCUCAGUAUAUUUCCAACCAUAUGAGCUUGGAAGACCCAAAAAAACCGCAGCAACCGAAGCCGAAGAAGAAGGAGAACGACAACAACAACAAUAAAGCGGGAAUUGAAGGCAUGAUGGGCUAUAACCUUCGUAUGACUAAGAAUCCAAACGGACGAAACUGAUUCCCAAAACAGGUCUACCGUGCAAUAACAGUCAGGUAUAUAAUAUGUGGAAGUGGGGACUAUAUAUGUAGAUUGCUUUGGAACAAUAAUACUUCUGGCAGCAGGAGUAGCAGAGAUUAUUAUAUUGUUGGUCAAAGAUAUAUAUAUUUUAUUAUUUUUAUUUAAUUAAUUCAUAUUAUAUUGUUGUUCGUUUCAUUGGUUAAUACUAGAAGUGCAAAAUUUAGAGCUAGGAGGCUGUGAUCUCUCACUUUCCAUGUAUUAUUUAACUUUAUAAUGAACAAUAAUCUCUGAAAGUUUAUGCAAUUUUCAUUGAUGGUGAUAUGAUGGUGAUAUAUAUGUGGUGAAUUGAUAAGCAUAUUAAUGAUA